GGAAGGACUACAGCUCAGUAGUAGAGCAUCUGCUUUGCAUGCAGAAGGUCAAGGGUUCAAUCCUUGGCAUUCCC